UACGUAGGGGGCUAGCGUUGUCCGGAAUCAUUGGGCGUAAAGAGCGUGUAGGCGGCCCGGUAAGUCCGCUGUGAAAGUCGGGGGCUCAACCCUCGAAUGCCGGUGGAUACUGUCGGGCUAGAGUGCGGAAGAGGCGAGUGGAAUUCCUGGUGUAGCGGUGAAAUGCGCAGAUAUCUGGAGGAACACCGGUGGCGAAGGCGGCAUCCUGGACCGGCAUUGACGCUGAGGCGCGAAAGCCAGGGGAGCAAACGGG
rnacentral:rRNA from 1 species